UUCCAAUCAGUUUUUAAGUGUUUGAUCAAUUGCUUUGGCACUUGGCUGAAUUCAGGUGCUUAUGGGCAGAGAGCAGUUCUCAAGUUUGCUCAGUACAUUGGUGCUUAUGCCAUUGCUGGAAGGCAUACCCUUGAUACUUUCAACAAUUAGCUUCAAACUUCCUUCAGUGAGCAUCGCCUUCUCAUCCUCAUCGAUCCAAGAACAGAUCACCAGUCACCAUUACUUAUCACAUCCUUGAAACCAGUCAGUUUCAAGAUUUAGACAACCUACAAAGAGGGAACUACUCUUAAGGAAAUACAAAUGAGAUGCUUCAGAGGAUCAUCUCCCAACUUGAUUUGUUUAUGAACACAGUGGAGGGUAGAGAUAAACUUUAAGGUGGAGCUACUGAAAUCUAAGGUAAAAGCUUUACUAAUUUUACCUUAGACAAUAAUGCAAUUUUCACUCUUCAUAAUAUUUUGCUUUUGUAUUUCUGAAUCAUAAAAAGCUUUCUCUGGAUUGUCCACUCUAAGGAUCAAAGUAAGAAUAAGGUUAACCAUUUCUUUUAUUCAUUCCUUUAAUUUUCUGUGUACUGCAAUUCCUCAACCAACUCUUCUAUUUUCUGAGUGUUUAGCUGUGUUGUAGUAAAGAUAUUGCCAUUGGAACACAUGGUUUGAUAUCUGUUUGAGAUUUUAAGUUUGGUAGUUUACUUUAAAUUUGUAAAAAAUACUUGUGGCAACUCACAAGUUAAUAUGUUGAUAUAUAUACUUUCUACAUGGUAAGAUCAAGGGGACCUGCGUGACAAACAUAAGGAUCCAUUUAGGAAAGACUCUACCAAACCGACUUUUAAGGUGAUGAUUUUUUCCCACUUAUAUAGUUUAUCUCGACACUAUCUAUAUUCGAUGUGGGACUUCAACAUUAAGUAAACAUAGAAAAUGUUCUUUCUACCUUGAUUAUUUGAAGAACUAUAUCUUAGUUGACACAAAAGUUAGGACAACAUUAUAAAAAAAUGCUCCGUAACACUUACUAGGUAUAGUGUAGGCUCCAAGGUUAGAAUUAGUAGUUGUAUUCAGAGAUGUAUUGAUUGGUCCUUGACUAAAUUGGAUUAGUCAUUACUUGCUAUAAAUUUAAUUAGAAAUAAACUACGAUUCUGUUAGUGCGUGAAAUGAACCAUUAUUUGGCAAUUUUAAACUAUGAUAGAGGCAAUCUUUCCUACGUGUUAUUAGUGACUAGAAGUGUCAUUGAUCAUAUUUAUUGUAUCAAAGUUUAUGUUUUUUGUAGUACAAAAACAGAUUGUGAUUUCUAUUGAGUCAGGGGGUUCUUUUAAGUUUGCAAAGUUGUCAGCGAAAUGCAGAGAUACAGAAUUUGUAGUGAGAACAGAGGCAGAGUAUUA